UGCUACUUACAUCUCUAGCAA
rnacentral:piRNA from 1 species